rnacentral:rRNA from 1 species
CAUAACGAUCAUAUUAUGUUGAAUAAAAAGGCUCUCUUCCAAUCACCUAAGGUAAGCAAUGUAGGGUCCAGUUAGUACUUAAUGAAUAGGUGACUCCAUGGGAAUCCCAGAUGUAGCUGACC